AGGGACUCUCUGCGCACGCGCGCGCCGGGGGGCGUGGGCUCGAGGGCGGGGAGCAGCGCCAAGUUGGUGAAGGGAGACCCAGGAAAGGCCUAGGGUUUGCGGGUAGGUGUUCUCUCUUUCUCUCUCGCCAUCCCGCUGUAGACGCCUCGGGAGACCUGAGCGGGGAGGAGGGCAAGCCACUUUCAGCGGUAGGGAAUCCAGGCCCGUCCGGCUGAAUCUGCUCACUGUAGUCCUACUGCCUACUUCUCCCAGCUGACGGACGCCCCAGCUACUGAUCGGUGUGGUUCCAAUUGUUCUAUUCCUCUGCACGUGUACAGUAUGUGGACGUCCUCUGCCCUGUGAUGGACACCAAACUGUCUUGUCCAUGGUCUAGCCCAAACUUUUCCUUCAGUCUUACCUGUUACAGUAAAUGGCCGUUUCGGUAGUUUGCUUAAAUCCAAGAAUUUAGGGAGGAGUCAUUAGCUCCUUCACUUCCUGUGUUACAGUUUAUCCACUAACACUGCCUGCUAUACUCUGAGAGCAAGUCUAGUCAAACUUAUUUACUAUGCUUAAAACUCUUCACAGACUUAAAGCAAUAUUUUAUGUAUUUGUAAGUCUGUACAUCAUCCUGGAACUGGAGUUUCAGACUCUCUGUGAGCAAGGAGGAGAGUGCGCGGGAGCGGGGUGGGGGUGCUGAAUCCCGGGUCUUCUGCUAGAGCAGUAAGCACUCUUAACCAGUGAGCCAUCUUGCCAUCUUUCCGGCUCUACUUCUCUUUGUUUAUUUUAAAGAUUAUCGUUUUUCUAUUCUUUUCAUUUAUUUAUUCGUACAUGCAAGCAAUCCAUCUUUCCAGGAAUUUCCACUGCGAAUUCCAAACUAUGGCUUCUUGGGUUCUGUUCCCGUCAUUGUGUGUAAACCACCAUGUUCUUCUGCUAAAGUCCAGCUUGUUCACAUUUUAGGAAUCAAGACUUAUUUUCUUUAUCUGUUGGUCUCUGCUCUGAAAUUUACAUGACUAACUGUCAGGGACCUACAGAGUUAUUUCUCUGACUCCUCAACUCUUGCUUUAUUUCAUUCAGCAAGUACUAUAUUGUAUUAAUUAACAUUUGUCACCGUCUGUACAUGGGACAACGAGACGGUGUUCAGGAUACUGAAGCCCUAAGUGACCCUCUCAGGAAUGAUCACAGGUACUGUAGUCUGACGGACUUAAUAGCAAAGGGCGAGUGGUACAAAUUAUCACUCAUCCUUUGCUAUUGAGGACAGAUUAUCCAGAGUAAGACUUUGGAAGAGUCCUCCAAGAAAGGAUUUUAAUAUAUUCUCAUCUGGCUCCAGUUGCCUGAAAUGAGCCAAUUCGAGCCAGAUGAGAAUAUAUUAAAAAUGGGUUUAUUGGGAAUCUGCUCUCAGGUGAGUUCACUGACCGCUACCAGGAUUGAGACCAGGGAAGUCACUAUGGGGAUGGGGGUGGAGGAGGGAAGAACACAGGAGCAAAGAAAGAAGGGAAGGAGGCCCAACAAGGAGGCCAAAAGGUCUGGAUUGUAUAGAGAGGAGCCUCUGGGGGAAGGUUCAGGGUUGGGACAGGGUAUACCAGAUAGGGACUAUGGGAUACUGGGAGAACCUGAAGACCAUGUCUGCUUUGAUAUGUAAAAUAUGCACCUUGGUCCAAGGUUAGAAACCAAACCUUAACCAUUACUAAAUCAGAUAAGAAGUGAGUGUAGUUCAAAGUGGAUUGCUGACUUUCAAAGGAUGGCAAAGCAUUGGGCCUGGUAUAGUGGCCCCGAAUUCUAGAAGUAGAGGCAAGGGGAAUCUUAAAUUUAGGAUUACUAGAACCUCAAGGCCAGCCCCUACUAUAUAGCAAGACCCAGACUCAGAAAAAUUAAUUUAAAAACUAGGGGUUGGCCCAGGCAGCAUACACCAGCUGAUAGGAGGCCCCAGACACAUAUAUAGCAGAGGACUGUGUGGUCUGGCCUUAGUGAGGGAAGAUGCACCUAACCCUCAAGAAACUUGAGGCCCCAGGGAGUGGGGGCAUUCUCUUGGGCAGGGGACAGAGAAGGUGUGGGAUGAGGAACAGAGGGCAGACUGGAAGGUGGAUAAAGACUAGACUGUAAAAAAGAUUCAAGAAUAAAAUUUUCUUAAUUUUGUUGGAAAAAAAAAAUAGGGGUUGGCAAGAUGGCUCUGUGGGCAAACCCCUGCCACUCAAGCCUGACAAUACAACGUGUGUUUGAUCCCUGGAGCCUGUGCAGAUAUGGAACUGGCAGGCAUCUCGGCACAAGUAGCCACAGAAGUAAAUCAAAUGUAACAAAGAAGACUGCAUUGGUUAUAGUGUAUCCAUUUUGGUAAGAUUUGGCCACAGUAGCAAUUUGGAAAUUUUGGCUCUGAGAUUUGAGAACAAAAGAAACAAAGCUACAGAAACACUGGAGUUGGUUGAUUUGGGAAGUCCAUAGUGCUUUUCUGCUCUCAUGUGCUGCCCUGUGUUUUGUUUUCCCCUGGCUUACUUCCUAGUUCAUGUUUCUUUGAAGAUGAGUGCUAUUGCCUCAGAAGGGCUCUUCCUGUGUAUGAGGAGCCCUUCCACUUGCCUCCUUACUCCACUCAUUUUCCUUUGAAAUAUUUAAAAAAAAAAAAGAAAAGAAAAGAAAAGUCAACUCAAAUCAAUGUAUCGGCUUACCUUUCCUAGUAGAUUGUAAACUUAAGAGGAUAGACUUUUUCCUAUUGCAUUUACUGCUCUAUUCCUGGUGUGUAGAAGAGAGCCUGGUAGAGCAUAGUUGUCACAUAAAUACACUGUGGAGUGAGCGAGGGGACGAACGGAGAGCUUGGGGUAGGAGGCUACUGGUCAUUUCAUGAGUCCAUUAGCUUCAUGUCUGCUUCAAGAAGUAACCAAAGAGCUGAUUGCUAUAUUCUCUUUUGCUUACGUCUCAGAAGAUACUUGUCUGCAAGGAACCUGUCCCACUGAUAAAGCCAGAUGCCUUCUUCCACUUCACCAGACGAAGAGGAUGGCCUGGAGACCUGUGUUUUAAAGGUUUUUGAUCUGGAUUUAAAAGAAUCAAAUCUUGUUAAUCCCAGCAACAGUCUCAAAGCAGAGUUAGAUGGCAGCACAAAGAAAAAAUACUCGUUUGCAAAGAAAAAGGUAAAAUUGCUGUCGGUGUUCUCAUGAUCAUGCAUGCAAAGUUAAUGAAGUACAUGUAAAAGCAGGUUAUUGAGCUUGCCUCUACCUCACAGUGUAGUCUGGUCUCGAAUCAUAUAGUCUUGGAACAGUUAUGGUCGUGUAUUUGAAGAGACUAGGUCCAGGGGCUGGAGAGAUGGUCCUGAGUUCAAUUCCCAGCAACCACAUGAUGGCUCACAACCAGUGUCCUCUUUUGGUGUGUCUGAAGACAGUGAUAGUGUACUUACAU
rnacentral:lncRNA from 1 species